rnacentral:rRNA from 1 species
ACGAACGCUGGCGGCGUGCUUAACACAUGCCAGUCGAACGGAAAGGCCCUGCUUGCCGGGUACUCGAGUGGCGAACGGGUGAGUAACACGUGGGUGAUCUGCCCUGCACUUCGGGAUAAGCCUGGGAAACUGGGUCUAAUACCGGAUAGGAGCCAUUUUUAGUGUGAUGGUUGGAAAGUUUUUUCGGUGUAGGAUGAGCUCGCGGCCUAUCAGCUUGUUGGUGGGGUAAUGGCCUACCAAGGCGGCGACGGGUAGCCGGCCUGAGAGGGUGGACGGCCACAUUGGGACUGAGAUACGGCCCAGACUCCUACGGGAGGCAGCAGGGGGGAAUAUUGCACAAUGGGCGCAAGCCUGAUGCAGCGACGCCGCGUGGGGGAUGACGGCCUUCGGGUUGUAAACUCCUUUCGCUAGGGACGAAGCUUUUUGUGACGGUACCUAGAUAAGAAGCACCGGCUAACUACGUG